CCUGAGAAAUAGUCGUUCCUCUUGUUAGGAUGUGGAGAUUAAUCCCAAUUGGGCAUCAGGCAUCAGCCAAGUGCUCAAAAACUGUUGAGGCAGGAAACAUUGCAGUUUUUUAAUCAAAGUUCUGGCUGAGUCAGAGCGAUGUUCCAGGUUAGUUCAGCCUAACAUAAAUGUUUCGAUGAAAGCUGGGUAGCCUUUACCAUUUCUCCUUAAGUACAGAGUGCUUUAAUUAGAGGAAAGCAGAGCAACAGCUGCUGUGAAUCUGUUCUGCUGUUGAGUUGUCAAUGCAAAGGCUCAAUUUCGAGCACUUCUUACUAAGCUUUCAGUACCAUUCUGGAGUCUGAAUUUACUGGUAUCUAAUGGUGAGAUUUCAACACCAGACAAAGAAAAGCCAUGCUGGCCUUGAACUCAAGCCCUGUUCCUUGGGUGAGCAUUAGCUUCAGCUUUUUACUGGUAGGGUUUUCAGGUUAAUAACAUUUUCCCCCCUAAGGCAAUUGAGAACUUGAGACAGUUCAAAUCAUCCUUCCUGAACCUCUGGCUCUGUGAGGUUCUGUUUGAACCCCUGUGGCUCUUCCAGAUUGAUUCUAUACUUCUAUGUGGCAAAUAGGUUUUGAAUCUGAUCCACGGGGGUCCUGGAGUGCUCGACUGAGGAUUCUAAGACCACUUCAGGGCUCAGCAGCAGACGGUGCCAUGUGCCUGCCUCAGAACUGAGAAGCGAUUUUUACAUCCGUGCUUUCUGACUGACUAAGAGUUCACAGAGCUUUCCUACCGCUGAGAAGGCGAUUCCAUUGGUCUAAGAACCCAUCUCUGCACCUCUGCCUGGUUCCUCUGCAGUGGGAUGAAGUGGAAUGGAUUUGGGUUCAAAAUGACCUAGAUUCAAACCACAGCUCCAAUGCUUACUGGAUGUGUGACUCUGGUUAAGAUAAUCCCGCUUGAGCGAUGAAAAUGAUUGGUUCAUAAUGCUCCCUCAGUAGAGUCAAGGGCAAGCUCAGGAAUUGAAAAUGGCUGUUUCAUCAUUGGACAGGAAGAAGGAUGUUAUCAACGCAUUAGCAUCUCUACAGUCAAGCUGAAGUGUGAUUGACUCUGGGCAGUUUGAUCAAUCAAGGUGGUCAACAGGAAGUUAUUUCCUCAAAUAUCGACGUCCUAUGUUUGAAUUGACUACUCUAUGUAAGUUAAUUCUAUGUAACUCUAUGUAACUAUGUAUUUCACUGUAUUUCUAUGGGUAGAGUCAUAUUGAAGUUGGUCUGUUUGUUUUUCACCCUGGACUAUUAGGAAAAUUGUCACACUAUUUAAUAGUUCUCAUAUACCGUUCCCCUUUCACAAAUCUUUGCAUGCAAAACAAAUCUGUCACUUUAAAAAUAAAUUUGUAGUAUGGGGUUUCCAUUUGGGAUAAUGAAAAAGUUCUAGAACUAG
rnacentral:lncRNA from 1 species